rfam:Myotis davidii contig58941, whole genome shotgun sequence.
GGCAGUUUUCACGUGAUGCACCCCGGAAUCAGGCUCCCUCCUCUCUGGUCCCAGGGUGCAUCACCUGAAAACCUCA